GACGUAGGAGGCGAGCGUUAUCCGGAUUCACUGGGCGUAAAGCGCAUGUAGGCGGUUGCACAAGUCCGUUGUUAAAGCCCCUGGCUCAACUGGGGGAGGUCAAUGGAGACUGUGCGACUUGAGGGCAAUAGAGGCACGUGGAACUCCCGGUGUAGCGGUGGAAUGCGUAGAGAUCGGGAAGAACACCAGUGGCGAAGGCGGCGCCCUGGCUCGCAACUGGACGCUCAGACACGACAGCAUGGGGAGCGAACGGG
rnacentral:rRNA from 1 species